GUAGCUCAGUGGUAGAGCGCUUGCCUAGCAAGUAUGAAGCACUGGGUUCGAUCCUUAGC
rnacentral:tRNA from 1 species